rnacentral:rRNA from 1 species
AUACGGGAGGGUGCGAGCGUUAAUCGGGAAUUACUGGGCGUAAAGCGCACGCAGGCGGUCUGUUAAGCUAGAUGUGAAAGCCCCGCGCUCAACGUGGGAGGGUCAUUUAGAACUGGCAGACUAGAGUCUUGGAGAGGGGAGUGGAAUUCCAGGUGUAGCGGUGAAAUGCGUAGAGAUCUGGAGGAACAUCAAUGGCGAAGGCAACUCCCUGGCCAAAGACUGACGCUCAAUGUGCGAAAGUGUGGGUAGCGAACAGGAUUAGAUACCCUGGUAGUCCACACCGUAAACGCUAGUCUACUAGCUGUUUGUGAAUUUAAUUCGUAGAGUAGCGAAGCGUAAACGCGAUAAGUAGAACCGACCUGGGGAGUACGGCCGCGAAGGUAAAACUCAAAAUGAAUUGACGGGGCCCGCACAAAGCGGUAGGAGCAUGUGGUUAAAUUCGAUGACAACGCGAAGAACCUUACCUACUCUUGACAUACUAG